rnacentral:lncRNA from 8 species
AAAAUUAGGAUGGAGCUGUUCAGGGCAAAAACCUCCAUGGACUAAUUCAAGGUAGAUCAUGGAUAUUAGAAAACAGAACUGUAUAAAGGCCCAGUGCAGUGCAAACAUGAUUUUCCUGUGUUUAUAUAUAUAAAUAUAUAUUUCCACACUAUGAGGUUGGAAUAAUAGUGUUAAAUUGUGAAAAUUAUGAAAAGGCCCUUUUAGUGUAAGAGCUGUUUGAAAAGACCACCUGGAAUUUCAGCCUGUUUUGGUGGGAUGGAGUUUUAGCCUUCUAUAGUGACAUCACCAGGCUGUAAAUGAGUUAAUAGACCAAUAAGAAAGAGUUCCAAACCUCUCUGCCAAUAACAGCUAGUUUUCUGUUUUCCCCUGAACACUCAGACCACUCCCAGACAGUCCUACAAAAAUUCUUGCUUGAUAAGUAAUUGUUUUCGUUUUUUUUUACUUUUUAAUUUAAAUUUAAUCACAGUAAGGUACUUCAUUGUUACCCUGAAACGAUGUAAUAUUGAGAUCAAAAUGGCUGCAUUGGACCUUUAAUAUAUAUUUAAAUAUGUUUUAAUUUAAAAUUUGAGGUAGAAUAAUUUAAAUAAUUUAUGUUAUGGUCAGUGAGUUAUUUCCAUGUGAGUUCUUCUCAGCUAAAUUAGUUCUCUCUCAUCUCAGACGUCUGCCGGGCUGCAGAAAGAUGAGAUGGACAGGGAUUUCACCAUGCUGAGCUCAGCCAUCACAGAGGUGUAGAAGCAAGUGCUGUCCCCAAUGGCGGAAAAUGAAAAAAGGAUGCUGCAGAGAGCGAGGGAUCCUCAGAUGGAGGAGGUCCAUAGGGUCUUAGAGAAGGAAUUGUCCAGGAUGGAGAUAGCUCUGCAAGGAGACCAGAAACAGCUGCUCCAGGCUGUGCAGAAAGACAUGUCUGGAGAACAGUGAGGAAGUGAGGAAACAGCUUCUGGUGGUGGUUCAGUCCAGGAUGGACUAAGUCUGGAGGUGGUUCAGUCCAGGAUGGACUAAGUCUGGAGGUGGUUCAGUCCAGGGUGGACUAAGUCUGGAGGUGGUUCAGUCCAGGAUGGACUAAGUCUGGAGGUGGUUCAGUCCAGGGUGGACUAAGUCUGGAUGUGUUUCAGUCCAGGGUGGACUAAGUCUGGAGGUGUUUCAGUCCAGGGUGGACAAGGUCUGGAAGGGUGAG